rnacentral:rRNA from 1 species
GGGACAAUGGGCGCAAGCCUGAUCCAGCCAUGCCGCGUGAGUGAGGAAGGCCCUAGGGCUGUAAAGCUCUUUCAAUGGUGAAGAUAAUGACGGUAACCGCAGAAGCAGCCCCGGCUAACUUCGUGCAAUCAGCCGCGGUAAUACGAAGGGGGCUAACGUUGUUCGGAAUUACCGGGCGUAAAGCGCACGUAGGCGGUUUGGUCAGUAAGGGAUGAAAUCCCAGGGCUCAACCCUGGAACUGCCUUUAAUACUGCCGGGCUAGAGUGCGAGAGAGGUGAGUGGAAUUCCGAGUGUAGAGGUGAAAUUCGUAGAUAUUCGGAGGAACACCAGUGGCGAAGGCGGCUCACUGGCUCGAUACUGACGCUGAGGUGCGAAAGCGUGGGGAGCAAACA